GUGAGUCAUCGAAUCUUUGAACGCACAUUGCGCCCGCCAGUAUUCUGGCGGGCAUGCCUGUCCGAGCGUCAUUUCAACCCUCGAACCCCUCCGGGGGAUCGGCGUUGGGGAUCGGGACCCCUCACACGGGUGCCGGCCCCUAAAUACAGUGGCGGUCUCGCCGCAGCCUCUCCUGCGCAGUAGUUUGCACAACUCGCACCGGGAGCGCGGCGCGUCCACGUCCGUAAAACACCCAACUUUCUGAAAUGUUGACCUCGGAUCAGGUAGGAAUACCCGCUGAACUUAAGCAUAUCAAUAAGCGGAGGA
rnacentral:misc_RNA from 1 species